GACGAACGCUGGCGGCGUGCUUAAUACAUGCAAGUCGAACGCAGUGGGGACGGGUGAGUAACACGUGGGUAACCUCCCAUCAGAGGGGAUAACACUUGGAAACAGGGGCAAAACCGAUACUGAAUGCUGGACCCGCGGGGCAUUAGCUAGUUGGGGAGGUAAAGGCUCACCAAGGCAACGAUGCAUAGCCGGGUUGAGAGGAUGAUCGUCCACACUGGGAAUGAGACACGGCCCAGACUCCUACGGGAGGCAGCAGUGGGGAAUCUUCGACAAUGGAGGAAAGUCUGAUCGAGCAAUGCCGCGUGAAUGAAGAAGGUUUUCGGAUCGUAAAGCUCUGUUGUUAGAGAAGCGGUAUCUAACCAGAAAGCAACGGCUAACUACGUGCCAGCAGCCGCGGUAAUAC
rnacentral:rRNA from 1 species